UCAAGAAACUUCCACAAUGGGCGAAAGCCUGAUGGAGCGACGUCGCGUGAUGGACGAAGUGCUUCGGCACGUAAACAUCUUUUUAUGUGGGAUGAAAUUAUUGACAGUACCACAUGAAUAAGGGGCUCCUAACUCUGUGCCAGCAGGAGCGGUAAUACAGAGGCCCCAAGCGUUAUCCGGAAUCACUGGGCGUAAAGGGUGUCGAGGCGGUUGUAUUAGUCGUUCGUAAAAUCUACGAGCUUAACUUGUAGGCGGCGAACGAAACGGUACGACUUGAGGUUUGGAGAGGUGCGUGGAACUCACGGUGUAGGGGUGAAAUCCGUUGAUAUCGUGGGGAACACCAAAGGCGAAGGCAGCGCACUGGCCAAAAUCUGACGCUCACACACGAAAGCUAGGGUAGCGAAGAGGAUUAGAUACCCGUGUAGUCCCUGAGCGGGCUGGCAAGGCGCAU
rnacentral:rRNA from 1 species